GAUUCUACUCGAUGUCUCAAGGGAUUCCCCUCAGGCCAUAAACGGGUCCCCGCAGGGCUCUCCACAGAAUCCCAAAGGGCUCCCACCGGGUCCCACACAGUCCCUCAGGGCUGUCCAAAGGGCUCGGACAUUGCUCCCUCAGGGCUCCCCUUGGUGUCCCCUCAGUGCUCCUGCAGGGCUCACCCAGAGCUCCACGCUCUGACAUUGCUCCCCACAGCACUCCGCAGGGCUCCCCGCAGCCGAGGGCAGUAAGGCAGGGGAGCAGGAUGUGCCCAGAUGGGCUUUGGGGAGUAGAACAACCACCCUGGCUUCCCCCAAAGGGUGGCACUGGGAGGAUGUGCCCUCUGCUGCCUUCUGCCUCUGCGUCCCACCCAAACCCACCCAGAAGUCAUCCAUGGGAGGACUCUUGCAAGGGUCUCCAUGGGAAUAACACCACUGUCUCCCAGCAAUAAGGGGCUUUUCCUGCUAUUCCUGGUGCUCUGACAUCCUUACCUCAACCUGCUGCACCUCAUCCUUCACUCAGUGCCUCUGGAGAUCUUUCCAGGACUGAUAGUAAGAGAAGAACAUGACAUCAAAUGUUUGCUGUGCAUCUGACAGCAGCUCCUCCACAUUCCUGUGUGCGUACAGGAGUCUGGGACCAGUUUGCCCAUCCCAGCGUGACUAUCCCAGUCAAAGGACUCCAGCCAGCUGGGGCAGGACCAGGCCCUUCCACUGGAAAGUCCUACACUGAUAACAGCAUAUUCGUGUCCCACUCAGCCAACCUCCAGCAUGGUGCUCGUAGUAGUGUACUUGGAGUGUCGAGAAAGAUGCUGUCUUUCGAGAAGUCUUAAAGGAUAUGGAACAUGUCUUAAGUGACAGAUCUAGGCUCUGAGCCUGAACAAGUUCAUUAUGUAUUGCUUAACUUUAUUCUGCAUAAAAUAUGUGUAAGUCUUUGCAGGCUGAGGGCCAGGACACUCAGAGCACCCUCACACCCCCACACACAUGGAAGAUAAUAUAACAUAUUUUCCAUAUAACAAGUGGCAAGAUGCCAGAAGUUAUCUUCCAAAAUGUUCUGCAGAAUCUGUAAUCCCCAGCAAUAGUCAGCGCUUUGCUGUUAGAAUGCUUAAAAAUACUCAGAGCUUCCAAAGGCAGAUAGCCCGUGAUAUCACAGUGGCGUAGAUUUAGUGCUGAUUCAGAAGGGAAAGUACCUUGAUGAAUUAAGCCCCACUCCCUGCAGCUUGCAGGAUGUUUUAGGAGGUCCUCUGCCCAGGUGAAAACCUAUCUGAUGGUGAUUGGUGCAGAAAUGCUUCUUUCUAAGCUGUCCAUUUUUAGCUGUCCAGUUGCUAUUUCCCACAAAAGCUACAAAUGCACCUAAGCUAGAAGAAAACUCUUGGCCAUAUCCCAAUGUAUUCCUAGUCCCAAUGAAGAGGAGUUUAUCCAUUUCUGUCUGUACCUUGCCCCCAGAAACACUCAGUGGAAGUGAAAAGUACUUUUGCAAUUAGAGGACAAAAUAUCAGGAUGAGGAAAAUGAUGAAUAAGAAGUUCCAGAACAAGUGGUGUCUAAAGAGUCAUUCCAGUGGGUUGUCUCAUGUGGAAUGACCUUGUCUCUUAUCUCUGAUGAGGAAGAUUUUGUACAAGACACUCCUGGGAAAAUUAUUGCCUCUUCGAGUUAAUGUUGGUGCAGUGUGAGAUACAUCUAAGGCAGAAAUUCCAUGGACAGGGUUUGGGGAUGUGUAAGACUUUUAAAAGGUUGUACAAAGUGAAUGAAUGGUGAGUCAGCAAUGUAUGAACGAGCUGAAAUAAUAGAUUUCAAUGGACACACAUAGCUGUGUGCAGUGUUUCCUCUGAUAACGUCACAGGAAGAGUAACAGAAUGUUCUGCUGUCAAAGAGUCUUGUGGACACUGACUGGUCCCUUGUUGGGCAAACUCAAUGCUGGCAUAAAGGGAAAGUCCACCAGCCCCAGAAGAGAUGUGUCUUUUAUCACCAGAUGUGUCUUUUGUGCUUUUACCAGAUCACAGGGUGGAAAUACUCACGUCUCCAGACUUCUGAGUGGGAGAAGCCCUAAAAGCAUCAGCAGAGCCCUGAUCAGAACAAAUUCAUUUUGAGAGGAUGCUGACCCUGUAUUAUCAGUGAGGAAAGGAGGCAGGCAGUGAUGAAUAAAAGAAGGGUCUUCAUAAUUUCAGUUUCUCGAUGUGAGUCACCCACAGCCUGAAUGCUUUGAUGACAGAUAUUCAGAGCUCAGCUCCAGUAGUCACUGCACAAUCUACAGAUCUCCCACCUAAACACCCAGGCCAAGCAUUGGAAGAUGAGGAGAAUGGGAGCAGGCACAGAAGCAAGUGCAAGAUAACCUACUAAGAUAGUGUCUGUGCUGUGGAGAAGUUCAAGGACCUGUUUCCUUACAAAGCAUCCAGUGUGUCUGGCACCGCAGAGCUGAUGGGAACCACUCCCUGCAUUGAUCUGGCGACGCAGACCUGAAGAUUAUUUGCCUACAAACAGCUAUUGUUUGCAGGAUUGGCAAAUGAAAAAAAUAAAUAUGUCUGUUUUCUCCACA